AGCGAACGCUGGCGGCAGGCUUAAUACAUGCAAGUCGAGCGCCCGUAGCAAUACGGGAGCGGCAGACGGGUGAGUAACACGUGGGAACAUGCCCUUCGGUUCGGAAUAACUCAGGGAAACUUGAGCUAAUACCGGAUACGCCCUUACGGGAAGAUUAUCGCCGAAGGAUUGGCCCGCGUCCGAUUAGCUAGUUGGUGAGGUAACGGCUCACCAAGGCGACGAUCGGUAGCUGGCUGAGAGGAUGAUCAGCCACACUGGGACUGAGACACGGCCCAGACUCCUACGGGAGGCAGCAGUGGGGAAUCUUGCGCAAUGGGCGAAAGCCUGACGCAGCGACGCCGCGUGAGGAUGAC
rnacentral:rRNA from 1 species